rnacentral:lncRNA from 1 species
UAUACACAAAAAAGAGUUUUAUGUGAAAUUAAUAAAAUCGAAAAAUAAAGCAUCAAAUAACAAAAAAAUGCAUAUAUAUUAUGUUUAUAUAUUUGUUUAUUUUAGGUCAAACUCCCAAAAAACAGCCUACUACAAAUAAUCCAUCAUUACCAAAAAAAGAAAAUAAACCUGCAUCAAAAGUUAUUUUAUGUCUUUCAGAAUUAAGAGACAUAAAUAUGCCUGAAGUAGAAAAUGGAGAUAUCUAUUUUGUAUGUACAACAGUAUUUGACAACGAUGAUGUAAAACAGUCAAUGGAAACAUCAAAUUAUAAUUCAGAAAUGAUUAAAGGGCAAUUUUUAUUUCAAAAAUAUGUAGCCGAAUUUAGUGAAGAGAUUGUUUUAAACAUACCCGAUAAUUCUAAUUUUGUACGAUGUUAUGUGUCAGCACUCACAGUUAAAGAAGAAGAUGGAAAGAGAACCAUCAAGUUGGAAGGAAUAGGAUAUACUGAUCCUUUUAUAACAAAAUUUUGUCAAGUAUUUCCUUAUGCAAAAUGUAAACUAAACACAGCUGUCGGUGCCAAUGAGACACAAGGUUUAAAUUUCUACGCUUUUUUUUUUUUUAUAUUUCAUAUAUAUAUCUCAACUAUAGCAAAACAAACAAAUAAUAUAACGCUUUGUUAAUAUUUUAUUUAUUUAUAUGUUUAUAU